rnacentral:ncRNA from 2 species
ACAAUUUAUAUUAAAUCACCUCAUAUAAAUUUGAGAAUAUGGCUCAAAAGUCUCUACCCGUUACCGUAAAUAACGGACUAUGAGGGAAGAUGGAACAGAC